rnacentral:snRNA from 1 species
AGCUUUGUGCAGUGGCAAUAUUGUAGCCAAUGAGGUUUAUCCGAGGCUCGAUUGUUGCUAAUUGAAAAAAAAAAAAAAGGAAAGUAAGGACUUUGGUUUAGCUUGGUAGAUCCUUAAACCCCAAAUGUGGG